rnacentral:piRNA from 1 species
CUUGGGAUGGUCUGGUCCACUGA